rnacentral:rRNA from 1 species
CGGACAGUUCGUGAGGUUUUGGCCCUCUCCAAAGCCAACAACCCCAAGCUAGUCUUCCUUUGUGAGACUAGGCAGGAUGCAACCAAGAUAGAAAAGUUGAAGUGGAGGCUAGGUCUAAAAUGUUUCCAUGAAGUUAGUAGUGAUGGAAGAAGCGGUGGGCUAGCAAUGUUCUGGGAUGAAAAUCUCACUGUUACAGUUUUGGAAUCUUGUAGUAGAUUCAUUGACGUUCGGAUCCUUGAAGGUGGCUCUGGUAUCUCAUGUAGGGGUACGUCUGUUUAUGAGGAGCCGAGAGUGGAUAAUCGACAUCGUAUGUGGGAUCACCUGUGUCGCCUACAGGCCAUGUCGCGAGAGCCAUGGGUCGUCUGUGGCGAUUUCAAUGAAACACUCUGGCAGCACGAGCACUUGUCAAGAUCAGCCAGGCAGAGUCACAAAUGGCAAUGUUCCGGGACUGCCUACAAACAUGUGAGCAUGAGGAUCUUGGGUUCUCAGGCCUCCCAUACACAUACGAUAAUGGUCAAGAUGGAUUUCGCAAUGUUCAGGUCCGCCUCGAUCGGGCCAGCGUGGAUGAAGCACUACGGGACAUUUAUCCUAUAG